ensembl:lncRNA
AUUGGAUCUAGUGGCACAAAGGAAUCCCGAGCCUUCACGUGAUGUCUGCAGUUUGGACAGGAAAGGAAGUGAGAUAUAACACCUGCAAGGUGCUGUGACGCUCAGCAGUGGUUGUCAGUGCUGUUAGAAAUGUGCCAUGAAGCUCAAGCAAAGGGCAAGGAGUGAACAGCAAACUUAUUCUGAUGGAUGGAGGAAAUUUGAAUCUGAAUUUCACAUGAAUGCUCCUUGCGUCCCUGCUUCCUCCUGGACUCAUGCAGAGAAGCCACUCCCUUGUCCCUUUUGAGGGUCGCAAAUAGCACCCACAGCCCAGCCAUCUUUAGCAUCAAAUGGUAGGGACAGACUUUAAGGAAGCAGUGGGUGUUUGCAAGAGCUGAUGGCCUCAUCCCAAAAUCUCUGCGGAGCUGAUGCACAGGUUUCUCGUUCAAGGAUGUUGACAUGGUUGACUUCAGCACCAUUUGGUUGAUCAGGACUCACACUGCCCUCCAGCUCUGUGUGCCUCAUCCAGGACAGAGCUGUGUUUCUGUGGUCACAUUCAAACAUACUCCAUCUUGUGACCCACCAAUACUUCCUCUGCAGAGUUAAAUAAGCGGCGAGGUCUCAGGUUGUGUUAUGACCUAUAGUUGGCUCAGAUUAUUUGGUCACCACUGAAUGAAUGAUUUCUUUCUCCCUUACCUUUUGCCAACGUCAGUGGUGUUCUACCUUUCCUCUUUC